rnacentral:misc_RNA from 1 species
GGAGUAGCGGAUAAAAUUGAGUAGAAUCACUGCCACUUGUUGGAACUGGAAAAGGUGGACAAGGGUGACCUACACCAGGAUGGGCAUGCUGAUAUGCAGGAGGGCCAUGCUGACCAACUUGGGGUGGUCCUGGUGGAUGACCAUGUGGAAAUAUAGGUGGACGUGAGGCCUGAGCGGCAGGUGGAGGAGGAGGUGGAGGAGGGGGGCCAGAGGCAGGAGACCACUGUUGCAUUUGAGGCCUAAGCAUGUUAUCAUUUUGACCACUCUGAGUUGCGUAGUUACCCUGAUCAUACAUCUCAAACAGCUAGCUAUCAAUAGAAUUAAUAAAUCUGGAGUUCAUGGUCCCACCGGUUCUGAGAGUUCCCACGUGCUGAUCACCAACUUAAGUUAUCCACAGUCACAGCAGCACCAAAUAGCGAAAUAGCAGGUCCCGUAGAUGUGAGUUAAAACUGAUUUUGAAGAUCUGAAAUGAAACCUAGCAAGCUUAGCUUAG